CCUACGGGUGGCAGCAGUGGGGAAUAUUGCACAAUGGGGGGAACCCUGAUGCAGCGACGCCGCGUGGGUGAAGGAGUACUUCGGUACGUAAAGCCCUAUCAUCAGGGAAGAAAAUGACGGUACCUUACUAAGAAGCCCCGGCUAACUACGUGCCAGCAGCCGCGGUAAUACGUAGGGGGCAAGCGUUAUCCGGAUUUACUGGGUGUAAAGGGAGCGUAGGCGGGAGUGCAAGUCCGGAGUGAAAGCCCGGGGCUCAACCCUGGGACGGUUCUGGAAACUGUUAAGCUGGAGGGCGUGAGGGGCAGGCGGAAUUCCUGGUGUAGCGGUGAAAUGCGUAGAUAUUAGGAGGAACACCGGCGGGGAAGGCGGCCUGCUGGCGCGUAACUGACGUUGAGGCACGAAAGCGUGGGGAGCAAACAGGAUUAGAUACCCUUGUAGUC
rnacentral:rRNA from 1 species